UGCGAGUGGAAGCGGCAACAGCUCAAACCGGAGGGUCUGGACUUGCGUCCGAGUUGUAAUUUGUAGAAGGUGCUUCGGGCGCGGCUCCGGUCCAAGUUCUUUGGAACAGGGCGUCGCAGAGGGUGAGAAUCCCGUACGCGGCCGGCGGCCAAGCCCAGGUGAAGCCCUUUCGACGAGUCGAGUUGUUUGGGAAUGCAGCUCCAAAUAGGUGGUAAAUUUCAUCUAAAGCUAAAUAUCUGCCGGAGACCGAUAGCGCACAAGUAGAGUGAUCGAAAGAUGAAAAGCACUUUGAAAAGAGAGUCAAACAGUACGUGAAAUUGUUGAAAGGGAAGCGCUUGCAACCAGACUCGUUCGCGGGUGCUCAGCCGCUCUUCGGGGCGGUGCAUUCUCCCGCGUCGGGCCAGCAUCGGUUUCGGCGUCCGGACAAAGGCCUCGGGAACGUAGCUUUCUUCGGAAAGUGUUAUAGCCCGGGGUGCAAUGCGGCCAGCCGGGACCGAGGAACGCGCAUCGCUAGGAUGCUGGCGUAAUGGUUGCCAGCGACCCGUCUUGAAACACGGACCAAGGAGUCGACCAACCAAGCGAGUGUUUGGGCGUAAAACCCUCUCGCGCAAUGAAAGUGAACGGAGGUGAGAGCCUUCUGGCGCAUCAUCGACCGAUCCUGAUGUCUUCGGAUGGAUUUGAGUAAGAGCCUGGCUGGUCGGACCCGAAAAAUGGUGAACUAUGCGUGAAUAGGGUGAAGCCAGAGGAAACUCUGGUGGAGGCUCGCAGCGGUUCUGACGUGCAAAUCGAUCGUCAAAUUUGCGCAUAGGGGCGAAAGACUAAUCGAACCAUUUUAGGUACGUCACUUCGCAUUGGGGGAUUUUUUGAAUGUUGAACGCUAACUCAAAAUAGUAGCUGGUUCCCGUCGAAGUUUCCCUCAGGAUAGCAGCAACGCAAAAAUCAGUUUCAUGAGGUAGAGCAAACGAUUAGAGGUCUUGGGGUUGCAAUCGACCUUAACCUAUUCUCGAACUUCGAAUAUGUGAGAAGUCCUUGUUACUUUGUUGAACGUGGACGCUCGAAUGUAUCGACAUGCCCCUGGGGCCAUUUUUGGGUAUGGCAACCUGGCGGACUCUAC
rnacentral:rRNA from 1 species